rnacentral:rRNA from 1 species
AGAGUUUGAUCCUGGCUCAGAUUGAACGCUAGCGGGAUGCUUUACACAUGCAAGUCGAACGGCAGCGCGAGAGAGCUUGCUCUCUUGGCGGCGAGUGGCGGACGGGUGAGUAAUAUAUCGGAACGUGCCCAGUAGCGGGGGAUAACUACUCGAAAGAGUGGCUAAUACCGCAUACGCCCUACGGGGGAAAGGGGGGGAUCGCAAGACCUCUCACUAUUGGAGCGGCCGAUAUCGGAUUAGCUAGUUGGUGGGGUAAAGGCUCACCAAGGCAACGAUCCGUAGCUGGUUUGAGAGGACGACCAGCCACACUGGGACUGAGACACGGCCCAGACUCCUACGGGAGGCAGCAGUGGGGAAUUUUGGACAAUGGGGGAAACCCUGAUCCAGCCAUCCCGCGUGUAUGAUGAAGGCCUUCGGGUUGUAAAGUACUUUUGGCAGAGAAGAAAAGGUACCUCCUAAUACGAGGUACUGCUGACGGUAUCUGCAGAAUAAGCACCGGCUAACUACGUGCCAGCAGCCGCGGUAAUACGUAGGGUGCAAGCGUUAAUCGGAAUUACUGGGCGUAAAGCGUGUGUAGGCGGUUCGGAAAGAAAGAUGUGAAAUCCCAGGGCUCAACCUUGGAACUGCAUUUUUAACUGCCGAGCUAGAGUAUGUCAGAGGGGGGUAGAAUUCCACGUGUAGCAGUGAAAUGCGUAGAUAUGUGGAGGAAUACCGAUGGCGAAGGCAGCCCCCUGGGAUAAUACUGACGCUCAGACACGAAAGCGUGGGGAGCAAACAGGAUUAGAUACCCUGGUAGUCCACGCCCUAAACGAUGUCAACUAGCUGUUGGGGCCGUUAGGCCUUAGUAGCGCAGCUAACGCGUGAAGUUGACCGCCUGGGGAGUACGGUCGCAAGAUUAAAACUCAAAGGAAUUGACGGGGACCCGCACAAGCGGUGGAUGAUGUGGAUUAAUUCGAUGCAACGCGAAAAACCUUACCUACCCUUGACAUGUCUGGAAAGCCGAAGAGAUUUGGCCGUGCUCGCAAGAGAACCGGAACACAGGUGCUGCAUGGCUGUCGUCAGCUCGUGUCGUGAGAUGUUGGGUUAAGUCCCGCAACGAGCGCAACCCUUGUCAUUAGUUGCUACGCAAGAGCACUCUAAUGAGACUGCCGGUGACAAACCGGAGGAAGGUGGGGAUGACGUCAAGUCCUCAUGGCCCUUAUGGGUAGGGCUUCACACGUCAUACAAUGGUCGGGACAGAGGGUCGCCAACCCGCGAGGGGGAGCCAAUCUCAGAAACCCGAUCGUAGUCCGGAUCGCAGUCUGCAACUCGACUGCGUGAAGUCGGAAUCGCUAGUAAUCGCGGAUCAGAAUGUCGCGGUGAAUACGUUCCCGGGUCUUGUACACACCGCCCGUCACACCAUGGGAGUGGGUUUCACCAGAAGUAGGUAGCCUAACCGUAAGGAGGGCGCUUACCACGGUGGGAUUCAUGACUGGGGUGAAGUCGUAACAAGGUAGCCGUAA